AGAGUUUGAUCAUGGCUCAGAUUGAGCGCUGGCGGUAUGCUUAACACAUGCAAGUCGAACGGUAACAGUCCCUCACCUAGAAAUUUCUUAAAAAGAGAUUUGUAGGUGAGGGAGCUGACGAGUGGCGGACGGGUGCGUAAUGUAUAGGAAUCUGCCUAGUAGUGGGGGACAACUCGGAGAAAUUCGAGCUAAUACCGCAUAAGCCCUACGGGGGAAAACGGGGGAUCUUCGGACCUCGUGCUAUUAGAUGAGCCUAUAUUAGAUUAGCUUGUUGGUGAGGUAAUGGCUCACCAAGGCGACGAUCUAUAGCUGGUCUGAGAGGAUGAUCAGCCACACUGGGACUGAGACACGGCCCAGACUCCUACGGGAGGCAGCAGUGGGGAAUAUUGGACAAUGGGCGAAAGCCUGAUCCAGCAAUACCGCGUGUGUGAAGAAGGCCUGAGGGUUGUAAAGCACUUUCAAUUGGGAGGAAUACCUAAUAGUUAAUAGCUAUUAGAUUGAC
rnacentral:rRNA from 1 species